GGGUGAGUAACACGUGGGCAAUCUGCCCUUCACUCUGGGACAAGCCCUGGAAACGGGGUCUAAUACCGGAUAACACUCCUACAGGCAUCUGUGGGGGUUGAAAGCUCCGGCGGUGAAGGAUGAGCCCGCGGCCUAUCAGCUUGUUGGUGAGGUAGAAGCUCACCAAGGCGACGACGGGUAGCCGGCCUGAGAGGGCGACCGGCCACACUGGGACUGAGACACGGCCCAGACUCCUACGGGAGGCAGCAGUGGGGAAUAUUGCACAAUGGGCGAAAGCCUGAUGCAGCGACGCCGCGUGAGGGAUGACGGCCUUCGGGUUGUAAACCUCUUUCAGCAGGGAAGAAGCGAAAGUGACGGUACCUGCAGAAGAAGCGCCGGCUAACUACGUGCCAGCAGCCGCGGUAAUACGUAGGGCGCAAGCGUUGUCCGGAAUUAUUGGGCGUAAAGAGCUCGUAGGCGGUCUGUC
rnacentral:rRNA from 1 species